UCAAAACUUUCAACAACGGAUCUCUUGGUUCUGGCAUCGAUGAAGAACGCAGCGAAAUGCGAUAAGUAAUGUGAAUUGCAGAAUUCAGUGAAUCAUCGAAUCUUUGAACGCACAUUGCGCCCGCCAGAAUUCUGGCGGGCAUGCCUGUUCGAGCGUCA
rnacentral:rRNA from 1 species